rnacentral:rRNA from 1 species
UACGGAGGAUGCAAGCGUUAUCCGGAAUGAUUGGGCGUAAAGCGUCCGCAGGUGGUAUUUCAAGUCUGCUGUUAGAAAGUUUGGCUCAACCAAAUAAGGGCAGUGGAAACUGAAAAACUAGAGUGCGUUCGGGGUAGAGGGAAUUCCUGGUGUAGCGGUGAAAUGCGUAGAGAUCAGGAAGAACACCGGUGGCGAAGGCGGCAACCUGGUCCUUGACUGACGCUGAGGCGCGAAAGCGUGGGGAGCAAACAGG